rnacentral:rRNA from 1 species
UACGGAGGGUGCGAGCGUUGUCCGGAAUCACUGGGCGUAAAGGGCGCGUAGGCGGCCUGAUAAGUAGGGGGUGAAAUCCUGCGGCUUAACCGCAGGGCUGCCUUCUAAACUGUCAGGCUUGAGCACAGUAGAGGCAGGUGGAAUUCCCGGUGUAGCGGUGGAAUGCGUAGAGAUCGGGAAGAACAUCAGUGGCGAAGGCGGCCUGCUGGGCUGUUGCUGACGCUGAGGCACGACAGCGUGGGGAGCAAACAGG